GGAUGCCCCGGGGGUGGGUGACAUUUUCUGAGAGGCAGCCUUGGGCUCAGAACGGAGCCCGGGGCAGGGAUAGAUGGCGCUCUGGGAGAGGAGUGUGUGGUACGAGGAGCAAAGAGGCCCAGGAGGAAGCGGGGCCCAGCGAGAUGGUUUGUCCACCUGUCUGCUCCCCCUGGCCAAGGAGUCAAAGCACCACAAGUCUCAAGCCAGGCCAGAAAUUAGGUGGUGGCCAGCAUGGAGCCCACAGUGACCCAAAGGGAACCAGACAAGGCGGACGCCAUGAUGGGCGGCGUGGAGGCCGGGCGGGCCACCUCGGACACGGUCCGGCGCAGCUUCACUUGGGGC